UCGACCUGCUGGGCGGGCCCGUGGCCAAGGCGAUCUCGCAGGCCGCCGCGGCCUCCCCGCCGUGGCCGCCGAUCGGCGUCGCGGAGAUCGACCC
rnacentral:tRNA from 1 species